rnacentral:rRNA from 1 species
CGACGCGCCAACCCCUGCUCGCCUGUUGCCACCACGAGAGGUGGGACUCAGGCGGGACCGCCGGUGAACAAACCGGAGGAAGGUGGGACGACGUCAAGUCAUCAUGGCCCUUAUGUCCUGGGCUACACACGUGCUACAAUGGCCGGUACAGAGCGCAGCGAGGCCGCGAGGCGGAGCGAAUCGCUUAAAGCCGGUCCCAGUACGGAUUGGAGUCUGCAACCCGACUCCAUGAAGUUGGAAUCGCUAGUAAUCGCGCAUCAGCAUGGCGCGGUGAAUACGUUCCCGGGCCUU